rnacentral:rRNA from 1 species
AUUGAACGCUGGCGGAAUGCUUUACACAUGCAAGUCGAACGGCAGCACGGACUUCGGUCUGGUGGCGAGUGGCGAACGGGUGAGUAAUGUAUCGGAACGUGCCCAGUCGUGGGGGAUAAGGUAGUGAAAAUUACGCUAAUACCGCAUACGAUCUAUGGAUGAAAGCGGGGGAUCGCAAGACCUCGCGCGAUUGGAGCGGCCGAUAUCAGAUUAGGUAGUUGGGGGGGUAAAGGACCACCAAGCCAACGAUCUGUAGCUGGUCUGAGAGGACGACCAGCCACACUGGAACUGAGACACGGUCCAGACUCCUACGGGAGGCAGCAGUGGGGAAUUUUGGACAAUGGGCGAAAGCCUGAUCCAGCCAUUCCGCGUGCAGGAUGAAGGCCCUCGGGUUGUAAACUGCUUUUGUACAGAACGAAAAGGUUUCUACUAAUACUAGGAGCUCAUGACGGUACUGUAAGAAUAAGCACCGGCUAACUACGUGCCAGCCGCCGCCGUAA